AUAGGUUUGCGGGACUGCCGCGCACGGGAAGAUGCUGCCACCCAACUGUCGCCGCCUCCUUGCUCGGCUUCUUGCCAUCCUCAUGUUACUGCUGUUAAUCGUCGGUGGCCAUGCAGGUCGUGGUGGAAGGUUUGGUCCACCUGCACACUGCGAUACUCGUCAGAACCCAGGCGGCUGCCCUCGUUUGCCGCCUCCGAACUGUGCAGGCUGUGGAUAGCAGCGGGUCUCAUUCCCGAAGCAUAUGUCCUCGACGACGGUCUUUUAGCAUGUCUUGUACUCCCUCACUUGCCAAAUAUUUGUCUUUCUACACAUUUUAAAUGGACUACAACAUACAGAUGUUUGUAGUCAUAUUUUAAAGUAUAGAUUCAUUCAUUUUGCUUCGUAUGUAAUCAUUUGUUGAAAUCUUUAAAAUGACAAAUAUUUAGAAA